rnacentral:lncRNA from 1 species
GCCAAGGUCAUCCACUGCAUCCCACGCCAUCACCACGUCUUGACUUUUGUCUUGCCACUGGACGUCAAUGAUUCUGGAAGAGACAGUGAGGCUGACAACUUUGUGCAACUGUGCCUCACCCAAUUCACAUGCAAGUCCAGACAUCAUUGGUCCUCUUCAGAAAUGAAGUAUGAAACACAGUUGAGGAGAUGAAGGUUCAGAACACUUCAAUGACUUGUCGGGCAACAUGAAAAAUGGAAAGCUGAAGACUUCCGGUCAAGAUGGCGGCUUAGAGAAAGCUAAAGUUCAGAUCUCUGGAAACCCUUCCCUACCGAACUCAAACUAUAUGCUCCUAAGGCACCGAAAUUCAAAACGAACAACAGCAUAGACCCCGGGAAUCCUCCUCCUGGACCUGGACCUGGAUCAAAAGGUAUGGCCCCCCCAAAAGCCAGAACCCGAGAUCACUUGGACCUAAGGGGUAGGCAGAAGAAAGGUCCCAGGACCCAUCCCUCCAACCCAGAGCUCUGAGUCCAAGGCAGCAGAGGGAACCACAGAGCCUCAGGGCCGGCUAUUCUGAAGGCCACAUACUGAAAACAACCUGACCCAGUCGAGGGGGCACCCAGACAGCAGGGAAACAGAGAGAGACAGGAGGAGUCUGUAGCCCCCUGACUAGAUCCUUCCAUCUGAGUCUCACCAAAGGUCCCUGCCUCAGGGCAUACUCAGUCUGAGGUUAAUCCUAUCAUGAGCCCUCAGAGCUCCUGGAAGCCACGGGCCCUCCCCUUCAGAGAGCAGGGUCAUCUGAAACAACAGUAACCCUCAGAGCUGGCAAAAGGGCC